rnacentral:rRNA from 1 species
AUUGAACGCUGGCGGAAUGCUUUACACAUGCAAGUCGAACGGCAGCACGGACUUCGGUCUGGUGGCGAGUGGCGAACGGGUGAGUAAUACAUCGGAACGUGCCCAAUCGUGGGGGAUAACGUAGCGAAAGCUACGCUAAUACCGCAUACGAUCUAAGGAUGAAAGCGGGGGAUCGCAAGACCUCGCGCGAUUGGAGCGGCCGAGGGCAGAUUAGGUAGUUGGUAGGGUAAAGGCCUACCAAGCCGACGAUCCGUAGCUGGUCUGAGAGGAUGAUCAGCCACACUGGUACUGAGACACGGACCAGACUCCUACGGGAGGCAGCAGUGAGGAAUAUUGGUCAAUGGACGCAAGUCUGAUCCAGCCAUUCCGCGUGCAGGAUGAAGGCCCUCGGGUUGUAAACUGCUUUUGUACGGAACGAAAAGGUCUCUCUUAAUACGGGGGGCUCAUGACGGUACCGUAAGAAUAAGCACCGGCUAACUACGUGCCAGCCGCCCGCAGUAA